CUACCUUAUGUUAGAGUUUGCAGGAAAGCGGUAUUUAAUUAUAAAAUACGUAUAUAACACAAAAUAAAAUUUAUUAUAAAAAUUAAUAUUCUUUUUAGGGGAUAAUUUUGGUUUUCGCGGACAAAGUUUUCAAGAACGCACAAAGUAACCUAGCAUAGUCCCCUUCUUCUUCUUCCGAUUCAUUGAUAGUCCCCUUCGUCCGAUUCAUCGAUUCAAUCAGUGUUCUUCUUCCUCAGUCCUCUUCUUCCUCCGAUUGAUGCACUUUUCGCCUCUGAUUUCCACUCGAAUAGAAAGAACGAAGAAAACUCAAUCUCCGCCGGACUCAGCCUUCGUCAGCUCACCACUGUCAUCUUUCUGUUCAUUUGUGUCUAAAGCAAAAGUCGGCAUUGAGGGUUUAUAAGAAGAAGAAAUACUUGCCUUUGGAUUUUCGUCCUAAGAAGACAAGAGUUAUUAGAAGACGUCUCACCAAGAAUCAGCAUUCGAAUGUCAUUAAAUUGAACUUCAAAUUGGGAGAUUAUUUUAGCUAUGGGGAAUGGUCCUCACAUGGUGAUGAAUGGGAAUCAUGCACAGCUUAUGAAUGCUAUGACGGCUGCCAAUUCUAAUGUGGUGCAAUGGUUGGAAAUGAAAGAUUUCAGCAACCAAUGAUGUAUGCAAGGCCACCACCAGCUGUGAACUACAUGUACCCUCCAUACCCUUAUCCUCCUCCAGAUCCUUACACAAACUUUUGAAGUAUAAUAUUAUAGUACUCUAGGUGGUUACUAACUUUGUUCAUACUGUUGCCAAUAUUUGAAGUAUAAUAUUGUUGAUGUUACUGAUUUAGUUUGUUUAACAUGAGUUAGUUACAUGUGAAACUUUCUGUAUAUAUAUCAUACUUUACAUGAUUUAGUUUGU